rnacentral:rRNA from 1 species
GAUGAACGCUGGCGGCGUGCCUAACACAUGCAAGUCGAACGAAGCACCUUGAUUUGCUUCUUCGGAUGAAGAUCUUGGUGACUGAGUGGCGGACGGGGGAGUAACGCGUGGGUAACCUGCCUCAUACAGGGGGAUAACAGCUAGAAAUGACUGCUAAUACCGCAUAAGACCACAGCACCGCAUGGUGCAGGGGUAAAAACUCGGGUGGUAUGGGAUGGACCCGCGUCCGAUUAGGUAGUUGGUGGGGUUACGGCCUACCAAGCCGACGAUCAGUAGCCGAGCUGAGAGAGUGACCGGCCACAUUGGGACUGAGACACGGCCCAGACUCCUACGGGAGGCAGCAGUGGGGAAUAUUGCACAAUGGGGGAAACCCUGAUGCAGCGACGCCGCGUAAGCGAUGAAGUAUUUCAGUAUGUAAAGCUCUAUCAGCAGGGAAGAAAAUGACGGUACCUGACUAGGAAGCACCGGCUAAAUACGUG